rnacentral:rRNA from 1 species
UGGGGAAUAUUGCACAAUGGGCGCAAGCCUGAUGCAGCCAUGCCGCGUGUAUGAAGAAGGCCUUCGGGUUGUAAAGUACUUUCAGCGGGGAGGAAGGUGGUAAGGUUAAUAACCUUAUCAAUUGACGUUACCGACAGAAGAAGCACCGGCUAACUCCGUGCCAGCAGCCGCGGUAAUACGGAGGGUGCAAGCGUUAAUCGGAAUUACUGGGCGUAAAGCGCACGCAGGCGGUUGAUUGAGUCAGAUGUGAAAUCCCCGGGCUUAACCCGGGAAUUGCAUCUGAUACUGGUCAGCUAGAGUCUUGUAGAGGGGGGUAGAAUUCCAGGUGUAGCGGUGAAAUGCGUAGAGAUCUGGAGGAAUACCGGUGGCGAAGGCGGCCCCCUGGACGAAGACUGACGCUCAGGUGCGAAAGCGUGGGGAGCAAACAGG